CUUUUACAAUGAAGAGUUUGAUCCUGGCUCAGGAUGAACGCUAGCUACAGGCUUAACACAUGCAAGUCGAGGGGCAUCAGGAAGAAAGCUUGCUUUCUUUGCUGGCGACCGGCGCACGGGUGAGUAACACGUAUCCAACCUGCCCUUUACUCGGGGAUAGCCUUUCGAAAGAAAGAUUAAUACCCGAUGGCAUAAUGAUUCCGCAUGGUUUCAUUAUUAAAGGAUUCCGGUAAAGGAUGGGGAUGCGUUCCAUUAGGUUGUUGGUGGGGUAACGGCCCACCAAGCCUUCGAUGGAUAGGGGUUCUGAGAGGAAGGUCCCCCACAUUGGAACUGAGACACGGUCCAAA
rnacentral:rRNA from 1 species